rnacentral:rRNA from 1 species
UACGUAGGGGGCAAGCGUUGUCCGGAAUCAUUGGGCGUAAAGCGCGCGUAGGCGGCUCGGAAAGUCGGUCGUGAAAUGCCGGGGCUCAACCCCGGGACUGCGUCCGAUACUUCCGGGCUGGAGGUAGGUAGGGGAGAUCGGAAUUCCUGGUGUAGCGGUGAAAUGCGCAGAUAUCAGGAGGAACACCAAUGGCGAAGGCAGCUCGCUGGGACGGUACUGACGCUGAGACGCGAAAGCGUGGGGAGCAAACAGG